AUGCCCCCAAUUUUUUUUUACAGCGUUCCUGGGCUGGGCUGCCGGUGGUGCACUGAUAUGUGCGGCUCAGACGCCCUCUCCCAGCGCAGCGGCCGCUCCAUGCAAUUAUUAUCAUUGCCGGCGGGGGCGCUGGCGGCUGGGCAGAGCUCCACAGCUCCGCUUAAAGCACGUGGCACGUGGCUCCGCUUAAAGAGCCCGGCGACAGGUGUAGCAGCAGGGCUUCGUGAGGAAACGGGCGGCAGCCUCCUGGCUCAGCCUCUACGGUCAGCCCCAGCGGGGGGGCACAGAAAACAAAAGAGCCUCAGGCAGCGGUCCAGUGGAGGAAGAAAGAGGACCCCGACGCCCAUGCGUUGGGCAAGUUGAUGCAGCCUCAUGGCGGAUAAAAAAAAAUUGUCUGGGUCACAAUUUCGUAAGCGGAAGGCUGAUAAGCAAAAAGAAGAAAGAAAGCAAGAAGGUUCGUUUCUGAAAUAUCUCCAUCCACUGGCCAGAGAUGAGGGUAGUUCAAUGCCAAAGGAUCAAGCAGAGAUGGAGAUGGGGAUGUGAGCUUCACAAGUUGAAGAAGAGUUUGAAGAAUGUAAUCUGAAUAUUGAAGACGAAUCAAAUGAGACAUGCAAGGAUCAAAACUUGGAAGACCGUGAAAGCGAAAAUGUCACUCGUUUGAAUUUGAGCUUUAGUGAUUCUGCUACUUGGGCCAAAUGCAAUGAUCAAGUCCGACAAAUUCUGGUGGAUCAUGGGCCGGAACAAGUUCAGCAGUUCGAUUUUCCCAAAGAUAGUAAGCAAAGAAAAUUCUUGACAAUUCAUUACAAACGUAGACCUGUUAAUGGAGAAGAAAUGCACCGUCAGUGGCUGCAGUAUUCCACAUCAAGUGAUUCUGUCUUUUGCUUCUGCUGCAAGUUGUUUGGCAGUAGUACUAUUGACACAUCAUCUCUUUCUGAAAAAGGCACAAGGGAAAAACAUGUCUGCAAUUCUUUCACGGCACAAGAAAAGCAGUGAACAUUUGACGAAUGUUCAAACAUGGAAGGAACUUGAACUGCAAUUGAAAUACAAGAGAACAUUUGAUUAAGAACAUUUGCGCUUGAUUAAGCAAGAAGAAAAGUAUUGGCAGCAAAUACUAAAACGUCUGAUUGCUUUGGUCAGAGUUCUUGGUGUGCAAAACCUGGCCUUUCAGGGAACACAUGAAAAACUGCACACUUCUGGUAAUGGGAACUUCCUCAAAUUGGUCGAAUAUCUAGCUUUGUUUGACCCACUUAUGGAUGAGCAUCUUCACAGGAUUAAGGACCAGGAGAUGCAUGUACAUUAGCUAGGGAAAGACAUACAGAAUGAGCUUAUUCAGCUUCUAGCCAAUGCCAUCAAACAAAAAAUC
rnacentral:lncRNA from 1 species